GAUCAAAAAGAAAAAUAACUGCAAAAAACAGGGCAACGAGAGAACAAAAAAAAGAGAUCUCCACAUCCAG
rnacentral:lncRNA from 1 species